AUUGAACGCUGGCGGCAUGCUUUACACAUGCAAGUCGGACGGCAGCACAGAGAAGCUUGCUUCUUGGGUGGCGAGUGGCGAACGGGUGAGUAACAUAUCGGAACGUACCGAGUAGUGGGGGAUAACUGGUCGAAAGAUCAGCUAAUACCGCAUACGUCUUGAGAGGGAAAGCAGGGGACCUUCGGGCCUUGCGCUAUUCGAGCGGCCGAUAUCUGAUUAGCUAGUUGGUGGGGUAAAGGCCUACCAAGGCGACGAUCAGUAGCGGGUCUGAGAGGAUGAUCCGCCACACUGGGACUGAGACACGGCCCAGACUCCUACGGGAGGCAGCAGUGGGGAAUUUUGGACAAUGGGCGCAAGCCUGAUCCAGCCAUGCCGCGUGUCUGAAGAAGGCCUUCGGGUUGUAAAGGACUUUUGUCAGGGAAGAAAAGGCUGUUGCUAAUAUCAGAUGCUGAUGACGGUACCUAAAGAAUAAGCACCGGCUAACUACGUGCCAGCAGCCGCGGUAAUACGUAGGGUGCGAGCGUUAAUCGGAAUUACUGGGCGUAAAGCGAGCGCAGACGGUUACUUAAGCAGGAUGUGAAAUCCCCGGGCUCAACCUGGGCACUGCGUUCUGAACUGGGUAGCUAGAGUGUGUCAGAGGGAGGUAGAAUUCCACGUGUAGCAGUGAAAUGCGUAGAGAUGUGGAGGAAUACCGAUGGCGAAGGCAGCCUCCUGGGAUAACACUGACGUUCAUGCUCGAAAGCGUGGGUAGCAAACAGGAUUAGAUACCCUGGUAGUCCACGCCCUAAACGAUGUCAAUUAGCUGUUGGGGUACUAGAUGCCUUAGUAGCGAAGCUAACGCGUGAAAUUGACCGCCUGGGGAGUACGGUCGCAAGAUUAAAACUCAAAGGAAUUGACGGGGACCCGCACAAGCGGUGGAUGAUGCGGAUUAAUUCGAUGCAACGCGAAGAACCUUACCUGGUCUUGACAUGUACGGAAUCCUCCAGAGACGGAGGAGUGCCUUCGGGAGCCGUAACACAGGUGCUGCAUGGCUGUCGUCAGCUCGUGUCGUGAGAUGUUGGGUUAAGUCCCGCAACGAGCGCAACCCUUGUCAUUAGUUGCCAUCAUUAAGUUGGGCACUCUAAUGGGACUGCCGGUGACAAACCGGAGGAAGGUGGGGAUGACGUCAAGUCCUCAUGGCCCUUAUGACCAGGGCUUCACACGUCAUACAAUGGUCGGUACAGAGGGUAGCCAAGCCGCGAGGUGGAGCCAAUCCCAAAAAACCGAUCGUAGUCCGGAUUGCACUCUGCAACUCGAGUGCAUGAAGUCGGAAUCGCUAGUAAUCGCAGGUCAGCAUACUGCGGUGAAUACGUUCCCGGGUCU
rnacentral:rRNA from 1 species